GGAGGAAGAGGAGGAAGAGGAAGAGGAGGAGGAGGUGAUGUGGGAUCACUGACGUGACACACAGGAAAGAACUUCUUGCCUGUAGGCAUAGUUGCAUGUCAACAAAGUAGCAGGCUGUAGAAUAAAACCAGCACGGGAGAACAAGUGUGAGUUAUCUGAUUCCUUUCUUCAAGGCCAGCGAACCCGAAGAAACACUGCCUGGUUUCUGUGACUCUCAUCUCUGGCGUGUAAACAAAGCUGGAUGCCUGUAGGCAAAGAGAGGCUCACUCCCACGUGGAGAUAUCCUGUGCUAGGAUGCCUCCAUGUCCAGUCAUCCUCUACCUUUAUCCAGCUCGCUAUCUGAAGAGCUGACCUGAGGCCUGUACAAGGGCCCUUGCCCCAGAGCUUGAAGCACUCUCUGCAUCCCAGGGAACGGAAGGGUAGCAAGGCAGUCACUGACCAGCCCAAGAUGGACAUGCAAAGCCUGAUGCUGGAUUACUGUGGCACAGUUUCUCUUGGGUUCAGACAGGAUUUGCUGUGCAAAUGAUGAGGCUACCCUCCAUCUCCCAAUCCUCCUGCUUCAACCUUCCUCUAGGCUGGGAUUGCAGG